UACGUAGGGGGCGAGCGUUGUCCGGAAUUACUGGGCGUAAAGCGUGCGCAGGCGGUUGUGCAAGACCGAUGUGAAAUCCCCGGGCUUAACCUGGGAAUGGCAUUGGUGACUGCACGGCUAGAGUGUGUCAGAGGGGGGUAGAAUUCCACGUGUAGCAGUGAAAUGCGUAGAGAUGUGGAGGAAUACCGAUGGCGAAGGCAGCCCCCUGGGAUAACACUGACGCUCAUGCACGAAAGCGUGGGGAGCAAACAGG
rnacentral:rRNA from 1 species